CGGGGGAAAAAUUUAUUGCUAUUAGAUGAGCCUAUAUUAGAUUAGCUAGUUGGUGGAGUAAUAGCCUACCAAGGCAAUGAUCUAUAGCUGAUCUGAGAGGAUGAUCAGCCACACUGGAACUGAGAUACGGUCCAGACUCCUACGGGAGGCAGCAGUGGGGAAUAUUGGACAAUGGGCGAAAGCCUGAUCCAGCCAUGCCGCAUGAGUGAAGAAGGCCUUUGGGUUGUAAAGCUCUUUUAGUGAGGAAGAUAAUGACGGUACUCACAGAAGAAGUCCUGGCUAACUCCGUGCCAGCAGCCGCGGUAAUACGGAGAGGGCUAGCGUUAUUCGGAAUUAUUGGGCGUAAAGGGCGCGUAGGCUGAUUAAUAAGUUAAAAGUGAAAUCCCGAGGCUUAACCUUGGAAUUGCUUUUAAAACUAUUAAUCUAGAGAUUGAAAGAGGAUAGAGGAAUUCCUGAUGUAGAGGUAAAAUUCGUAAAUAUUAGGAGGAACACCAGUGGCGAAGGCGUCUAUCUGGUUCAAAUCUGACGCUGAAGCGCGAAGGCGUGGAGAGCAAACAGGAUUAGAUACCCUGGUAGUCCACGCUGUAAACGAUGAAUGUUAAAUAUGGGAAGUUUACUUUCUGUAUUACAGCUAACGCGUUAAACAUUCCGCCUGGGGACUACGGUCGCAAGAUUAAAACUCAAAGGAAUUGACGGGGACCCGCACAAGCGGUGGAGCAUGUGGUUUAAUUCGAUGCAACGCGAAAAACCUUACCACUUCUUGACAUGAAAUCAUACCUAUUCA
rnacentral:rRNA from 1 species